AAAAAAAAUUUUUUUUUAAAAGAGAAUAAGAUGUUUAAGAAGACCCACGUGGGGAAUGAUCAAGGUUGAGAAACCAUUGUCUCUGCUCUUAAUCAGACCACGGAGCUGAGUCUCAUGCUUAAAGCCUGGGUUAGGCAACAGGAUGGAAAUGACAUCUUCAGAAAAAUAAAGCAGCGGUGGAGUGGAGGGGAGGGGGAGCUGCCGGAGUAGGAGGGAAGGAACAGACGUGGGCCACGUGCUUCUCCGUGCCAGAUGUGUUGAUAGGUCCUCAAGCGACAGUUGGCAAGAAGGGCAUGCUUGGUGUCCAGGGAGUAGUGCUGAGUCAUUUUACGGAGUUGGUACGCUUCUUGGAGGUGGAACCUGCGGGAACACCUCGGUUUAAAAAGAGCCACGCGCCGACGCCAGGCUUCCUCUAGAGGCUCCAGCAUUCUGCUUAGCGAAUAGACCGCAGGCUGCUUCAGUACCGUGAGCUCAUGCACCUCCGACAAAUUUGGAGUAUCCUCAAAUCUGAAUUGGGCACGAGGAGGCAUCCCUUUCAAAUAUCUUGAAUGGCUUAAAUGGAAAAUUGACUUAAAAUUUCUUCUGCGGGGCGCCUGGGUGGCUCAGUCGGUGAAGCACCCGGCCCUUGAUCUGGUCAUGAUCUCAUGGUCUGUGAGUUCGAGCCGUGUGUGGGGCUCCGUGCUGGCAGCUCAGAGCCUGGAGCCUGCUUCGCAUUCUGUGUCUCCCUCUCGCUCUGUCCCUCCCUUGCUGGCACUCCUUCUCUCUCUCUCUCUCAAAAAUAAAUAAACAUUAAAAAAAAAAAAGAUGAAUUCAUCCACAGCAUAGUGACAGCAGUUAACAAUACUGUAUCCUGUACUUGAAAGUUGCUAAUGUUUCAUCAUCACAACAACAAAAUGGUAAUUAUGUGAGACAUAUGUGUAUCCAAUCAUCACAUCGUACACUGGAGAUUGAUAUCGUCUUGCACGUCAAUUAUAUCUCAAUAAAGCUGAAAAACACACUGGAAAUGUCUUUAAAAAGAAAAUGCGUCUGUCGUUCUCCAGGAGUCUCAUUUGGAUUGAAAGUUUUUCUUUUUUUAAAGUGUUUUUUUUUUAAAUUUUUUUU